GACAAUUGGACCUUCCCAGCCAAGACUUGAGUGGCGGUUUAUUAUUUGGAUGCUUUUUGGAAUGGGCGAGGCCAGCAGUUCCCGCUUCCCCGAGGGCAGCCGGACCGUAGAGCCUGGCCUGCGUGCGGCACAGCUGCCACGGCUGCAUGGCGGGACUAGCUUCGGAGGGUUCGCCCCCAGGGCCGGAGUCCAUUCUCUCCUACCUUCCUCUAUGAAAAUAAUGGCUUGCAGAUGGGGAAACUGAGGCCCAGAGGAGGCGAGGCCUUGCUGUAUAUCUCCAAGCCAAAGAGCAUCUUGGCAAGAGAGUGGGACUAGAACUUGGAAGUGAUCUUGGGCAGAGCUCUGUUCUGCUUCCUGGAGCAGGGACCUCUUCCCAGGCUGCUACACCCUGGGGCACCUCAGCGGCCCUGCUCCCGGUGCCUGCGUGGGCCCGAGUCAAGGCAUCGUGGCGCCUGGCCCCUAGAAGCAACUUCAUUUCCUCUGCCGUCACCGUCUAAAAGUGAGCGAUUCUCCUGACAGCACUGCUUGAGCUCUCUGAGCUGCCUCUGCCCCUCCAGACUUCAGAGAGAGAGAGAGAGAGAGAGAGAGAGAAAGCUCCAGGUGGUCGUCUCGGACACUGGAUUGUCACAUGACCAUGGACAAGAAGUUUAGGAGAGUCUAAUGAGACUGGACAUCUAGUGUCGAGCAUGAGUCCCCAGGUGUCCAGGGCACAUCCAGCCUCUAACUGUCCUCUGUCCCCCAGGAGAGAGUGAAGGGCUGCACUGCACUUGAGCUACCUUGGUCCCUGCCUGUGCCUGGGGACCUGGGAACACGGGCAGGGCCGGUUGGAGCUCCCCGCGGCUCCUGCUUCUUUGUUUUACCAUAUUUAAUACCAAUAUUUAAGCAUCACCAAGGCAACAGCCCAAACCUCCUGGCCCUCGGCCCCCUUCCAGCCCCACACGGUGGGGCUGAGGGCAGGAGGGGAGCAAGGAAAAUGAGUCAAUUGUCCCCUUGCCCCACAACCACCUGGGAAAACAGUGGCCUGAAAAAGACAUCCUGGCAGGGCCACUGCUCUUUUUCGUGGUCCCACGACGGAGCACUUUUAACACAAGCAGGACAGAGUCUUGCAAGACCUCUGUGCUAAUAUAUACUUCAUUUUUGCUGUUGUGGUCAGAGCCCACAGGUUUUUUCAGAUUUUUUAUUGAAGUUGAACAUCUACGAAGAAAGUGUACAAACCUUAAAGGUACAACUUUCACAAACUACAAUUUUUGCAAACUGAACAUGCAAGCACCCAAUCAAGGAUCAGCACAUGACCGGCAGGAGUCCCCACCCUCCUGACAUGGCCUCAAGGGCUCCAGGCAUACCCCACACCAUGAGCCCACCUGUCUCGUGGCUUUUCCUCAAGAGAGCACCUCUCAGGACCUGUGGGAGUUGGCAGCCUCAUUCUGACCAAGGUCACUACCAGGUACACAACUGAGCCUCCUGCCCCGCACUGCCCUUUCUGUUUACACAGGAAGUUCAUUGUUGCAGCACCUCUUCCUCCAGAGAGACCUCCCGGCUUGCUCAUCCUCCCCCCACCCCCAGUGGCCAUCCACUGCACUGGCCAGCCCUCAUAGGCUCCCUCUGGUCCCCAGUGCCGCGAGACUCGCCUUGCCAGAAUGCUACCAGCACAGGUAGGGCAGAGUCUAGGAAGGGGGCUGCCGAGGAGGGUGGGGCGUGCUUUCUACCUGGGCUUGGAUUAAUCUGGGCUUCCUUCAGCACAGACAGCCUGGGGAGGACGACAUCGCCCCAACCAGAGACACACACACAGCCAGCGCCUUUGGAUUUAUGAGCUGUCACCAUCCCUGCUGUUACACAAGCCUUCUUGCUUCCCACUUUCCUCUCCUCAUGCUUCUGCUUGCUUGCUUUUUUUCCUCUCUUUAAUAACCCUGGCCGCAUAUUUUCUCUAAACCAAACCAUGUGUUUACCAGCUUUUAUAAGCUGUCAUAAAGACAGUGAAGACCCAAGAGCCAUUUGGGUCCCGGCACUUUCUCUGGCUGUCUCUCCGGGCAGCCCCAGCCAGAGGUGAAGUGUGCGGGGCUUGGAGGUGACAGGUCCAGCAGGGUCCUUUCCCUCCCCCUGAAGGUGCCUGUUCACAGCUGCGUCUCUCCGGGGAGGUUGGCAGAGCCGUGGCCGCCUUUCUGCAGGGAUGUCGGAGGACCCGUGGGUCACCUGCCUGUGGCGAGGCGCCCGCUGGGUGAGGACCCGCGGGGAGGGCCGGAGCGAGGUGGCUGCCCAGAGCCAGCCCGGACGGUGCCAGGAGAUCGCUCCUCGGGAAUGCACUGAGCUGUGAGCUCGGGGCGAGCCCAGGAAAACAAUUCGACAACAAUGCCGAGCGCCUAGGUGACAGAGAAAAAAAGGGGAGUGUGUUUGGGAACAGAUUUCGGCCUGUACUUCCAAGGCAUUAGUAAUUCAAGCAGCAGCGAGUGUAAUAAUAUUUACUUGGGAAACUAUGAAAAGUCAUAUAACGACGUUCCUUUGACAGCUUUCAUCAUCGGCCUGCUCGGUUCUGCCACCUAAUCACAAACACAGGCGCGCUCUGCCACCUGGCCCCACGCGGGACUCGGGCCCCAGCAUGCGCAGGGUGUCCCCCGUCAUCGGGCGAGAGUCAGGAGCUGGUGCCUGGGAAGCCACUGUGGGGUAGGACCGCCUGGCCCCCUCUUCCACCGGGAGGAAAUCGGAGAUGGUGGCGCUAGCACAGCCAGUGGGCCAGAGGAAAGAUGAAACCCUGGUUCAACAGAACCCUGCUGCUUAAUUUAAUUUAAUUUAAUUUAAUUUUGUUUUAUGUUUUCUGUGUGGUGGGGUAGAAGGUUAGGAACAGAGGUAGUGUGGCCAGCCAUCCAGGUUUGCCUGGGACGGAGAGGGUUCCAGGGCUAUGGGACUUUCUGUGCUAAACCCAAGAAGUCCCAAGCAAACCAGAAUGAGUUGCUCACCCUAGUGGUGGGGAUGUCCGCAGAGUGGGAAAAGCACGGGACUCAUGUUGGGAUUCAUGGUUUGUCCCCGGGUAACCUUCCCAGAGUUUAUCUAUAAAGGGGGUGGACUUGAGGCGGGGCAGGGAAGGGGGCAGGUAAUAAGGCCCAGGGACCUCAGGUGGGUGGCCGGCACCAAGGGGACCUGAAGAAGAGGCUCCUCCACUUCACCCAGCCCACCACUGCCAAUUUUUUGUGAAAUCUCCCUAAUUUGGAAAUGUUGGCUCACAUAUCACGGACAUCCUGCCUGGGCCACGCAAAAACAUCUGAUCGCCAAGCUGGGCUCUGGGCAACCAGUGUGUGGCCUCUGGACUGCUCCGCCUGUAAGUUUCCUGUCCUUUCUAAAGGCCAGUGAUUAUGCAGCCUCCAGCCAGCCAUACUCCCAGUUAACUGGAAAUUAGUCACGUGGUGUCCUUUGAGGUAGAAUAAGCAAAUAUGUAGGCUUAAAAGCUGAUUUUAGGGGCUGAAUUCAAAUAAAAAGCAGUUUCUGCAAAGUG